AACGAACGCUGGCGGCAGGCCUAACACAUGCAAGUCGAGCGCGCCCUUCGGGGUGAGCGGCGGACGGGUGAGUAACGCGUGGGAACGUGCCCUUCUCUGCGGAAUAGCCUCGGGAAACUGAGAGUAAUACCGCAUACGCCCUUUGGGGAAAGAUUUAUCGGAGAAGGAUCGGCCCGCGUUGGAUUAGGUAGUUGGUGGGGUAAUGGCCCACCAAGCCGACGAUCCAUAGCUGGUUUGAGAGGAUGAUCAGCCACACUGGGACUGAGACACGGCCCAGACUCCUACGGGAGGCAGCAGUGGGGAAUCUUAGACAAUGGGGGCAACCCUGAUCUAGCCAUGCCGCGUGAGUGAUGAAGGCCUUAGGGUUGUAAAGCUCUUUCAGCUGGGAAGAUAAUGACGGUACCAGCAGAAGAAGCCCCGGCUAACUCCGUG
rnacentral:rRNA from 1 species